GAAGCUGAUGGGGAAACUGGCGAGCCUCUCUUCGGAACCCUCCCCAGACCUCCGCCCACGAGGACCCGCCCGAGCGCUCACUAGAGGAAACCGAGCCCCACCGGGUCGUGCGUCAUAACAUUCAGACUGUAAAUAUGAAAAUGCAGUCCACGGAAGAGUGGUUUUCAACCUUCCUAAAUGUGGUGGCCCUCUAAGACUGUUCCUCAUGUCACGGUAGUAGAGACUGUGGGCUGGAUCAGAAGUUCGGUGCAGAGUUGGGAAGCCGUGAGCAGGCAGGCCUGCUCCAAGCCAGUGUCUGCUCACUGCCUCCAGCUCAUUCCCUCUGAUAAGGGAAGUUCCCACAAAGCUGCCCUUCCUCUCCAACUGGGAGCAGACAGCUCCAUGGAAACCUGAAGUGGGAACUUUGUUUACCGCCUUAGACCCUGGGUGGCAGAGAGCUUGGCCUUAUGGACACACUCAGCCAUCCUUCCCUCCUCACAGCAGCUGCCCUGAGACCCAUCACUUCCCGUCAAUCCACAGGAUGGGUCCCAAACCAGAGCCUUCCAUACGUCUCCCCCAUUGAGGUAAAAGGACAGGAAGUUCUUCUGUCUUCACAUAAAUAAGGCCCCAACACCACAAAGGCGAUGUAUUGGUCUUGCCAGUUCCUGAAGACGUUAACUGAAAAGGAAAUGCUCCUGAACUCUCCUCCGUGGACAAGAUGGCAGAGAAGCAGCGGCCAUCUCAGAUCACCAGACAGCUUACACAUGGGAGACAGUAUAAAGGAGCUUGAGUUCCUGUGGGAUUUAGUGCCACCAGCCCUGGACCUCACUGGGAAAGAGAAGAAUGAAUGCUCUUCCAUUUCUUGUCUGGUUGUUUGCUUGUUUAUUGUUUGUUGCUGUUUGGUUUUCAAAGGUUUUACAGAUUUCUUUCCUUUUGGGUUAGUUUGAGGGUCUGGGGGAUUUUGUUCUGUUUUUGUAACAGGGUUGUCCUGUAGCCCUGUAGCCCAGGCCAGCCCCAAACUCACAAAUCUCAA